rnacentral:rRNA from 1 species
UGGGGAAUUUUGGACAAUGGGCGAAAGCCUGAUCCAGCAAUGCCGCGUGUGUGAAGAAGGCCUUCGGGUUGUAAAGCACUUUUGUCCGGAAAGAAAUCCUUGGCUCUAAUACAGUCGGGGGAUGACGGUACCGGAAGAAUAAGCACCGGCUAACUACGUGCCAGCAGCCGCGGUAAUACGUAGGGUGCAAGCGUUAAUCGGAAUUACUGGGCGUAAAGCGUGCGCAGGCGGUUUGCUAAGACCGAUGUGAAAUCCCCGGGCUCAACCUGGGAACUGCAUUGGUGACUGGCAGGCUAGAGUAUGGCAGAGGGGGGUAGAAUUCCACGUGUAGCAGUGAAAUGCGUAGAGAUGUGGAGGAAUACCGAUGGCGAAGGCAGCCCCCUGGGCCAAAUACUGACGCUCAUGCACGAAAGCGUGGGGAGCAAACAGGAUUAGAUACCCUGGUAGUCCACGCCCUAAACGAUGUCAACUAGUUGUUGGGGAUUCAUUUCCUUAGUAACGUGAGCUAACGCGUGAAGUUGACCGCCU